GGGAUAAUCGGGAGAAAUCCCGUCUAAUACCGCGUAAUGCCGCGGGGCUGCAUGGCCCUGCGGCCAAAGGGAGCGAUUCCGGCAACGGAUGGGCAUGCGUGACAUUAGCUAGUUGGCGGGGCAACGGCCCACCAAGGCGACGAUGUCUAGGGGUUCUGAGAGGAAGGUCCCCCACACUGGUACUGAGACACGGACCAGACUCCUACGGGAGGCAGCAGUGAGGAAUAUUGGUCAAUGGGCGCGAGCCUGAACCAGCCAAGUCGCGUGAGGGAUGACGGCCCUACGGGUUGUAAACCUCUUUUGUCGGGGAGCAAAUUCCGCCACGUGUGGCGGAGUCGAGAGUACCCGAAGAAAAAGCAUCGGCUAACUCCGUGCCAGCAGCCGCGGUAAUACGGAGGAUGCGAGCGUUAUCCGGAUUUAUUGGGUUUAAAGGGUGCGUAGGCGGACUGUCAAGUCAGCGGUAAAAUACGGGGGCUCAACCUCCGCCCGCCGUUGAAACUGACGGUCUUGAGUGGGCGAGAAGUAUGCGGAAUGCGUGGUGUAGCGGUGAAAUGCAUAGAUAUCACGCAGAACUCCGAUUGCGAAGGCAGCAUACCGGCGCCCGACUGACGCUGAAGCACGAAAGCGUGGGUAUCGAACAGGAUUAGAUACCCUGGUAGUCCACGCAGUAAACGAUGAAUAAUAGCUGUCCGGG
rnacentral:rRNA from 1 species